rnacentral:rRNA from 1 species
UACGUAGGGUGCAAGCGUUGUUCGGAAUCACUGGGUGUAAAGCGUGUUUAGGUGGUGAUUUAAGUUCGAUGUGAAAUCCUGAGGCUUAACCUCAGAACUGCAUUGAAAACUGAAUUGCUUGAGUUCGGUAGGGGAAAGUGGAAUUCCUAGUGUAGCGGUGAAAUGCGUAGAUAUUAGGAGGAAUACCUGUGGCGAAGGCGACUUUCUGGGCCGAUACUGACACUCACACACGAAAGCGUGGGGAGCAAACAGG